rnacentral:ncRNA from 1 species
CAUCGUGAGGUGGAAUCUGAAGGAAGGUGCAGGCAAAUCUCCGGUCCGAUGUACAAGAACCACAUAAGGCUACGGCAGGAUGGAUAAGGUUGCAUGACAAACUGAAGUCCCAUAGCUGUACGGAAUCCUGCAGAGUACAUGUGGCGGAUAUAUGGAGAGAAAGAGU